UACGUAGGGGGCAAGCGUUGUCCGGAAUCAUUGGGCGUAAAGAGCUCGUAGGCGGUUCCGUAAGUCAGAUGUGAAAACUCAGGGCUCAACCCGGAGACGCCAUCUGAUACUGCGGUGACUGGAGUCUGGUAGGGGAUCACGGAAUACCUGGUGUAGCGGUGAAAUGCGCAGAUAUCAGGUGGAACACCGAUGGCGAAGGCAGUGAUCUGGGCCAGUACUGACGCUGAGGAGCGAAAGCGUGGGGAGCAAACAGG
rnacentral:rRNA from 1 species